ensembl:lncRNA
ACAAAACGUUGUAGCUGUGCGUUGUUUGCAUAGGAGCCAUUAGCAUGGUAUAACUGUGAAAAUAAUGCAGCUUUAUUCUUGCAGUUGAUUUCCCACGGGCAAGGCAGUUAAGCAGCUGUGCUUUAUCGUUUCCUAGGUUGUUGACACAUGUGGACCAACAGUGACAUCCUUCUUCAGCAAUGCUGUCUUUACUCCCUCCUGCAUUCAGAAGCAUCUAGAGAGAUUUCUUGCCAAAGCAUCCUGUUUUGGACUUGCUGAGAAAUGAGCUGAGAACCAGGUCUGGUGGGCUUUAUUACUGACUGGUGCUAUGCAACGUGAUUAAUGUUGGCUUGCUGGGAAGAAGCAGUUACUGGCAACUGUGUCACCUAUUUCUGCUGGGUUUUGAAGAGACCUUUUCCUGGUAAAGAUUUUUUUUUCGUUACCUUUAUCAAAACAGGAUAUAAAACGAGAGUAUAAUUCGCUGCUAGAGAGUCCUCAUUUACCUCGAUACUAGGGAAAUAUCUCUUCUUUCCAUAAAUCAUUACAUUUAUAGGUGUACAACAGGAACAAAAGAGAACCAUUCCCUAUCCAGACGUUAAUGUCUGUGCAGAUGGUCCUUUGACUCAAUAACUUUUCUUCCUUGGUCCUCCUUUGUGUUUUUUCUUUAGCGGGCACGUGACAUAUGGCCAUAAAAAAUACUGGCCCAGUUUCACCCUUGCUGUAGCUCAUUG